GUCCCUUCAGUAAGAGAUUACUCAUUUUGUGCAGUAACUGCAGUCCUUCAAGAUAUUUGUCUCUAUGGAUGCUCCACUUCAGGUGCACAUGUGCCUGUUGUGCCCUUGAGCAGAGAUUGUCAGUUAGCAGUAUCCAUUUGGCCUACUAAUGUGCCCUAUGCCUCAUUGUGCUGGAUACUGAGACUAUAUAGGGGUGUGUGGACAACCACCCCCCCCUCAGUUCCUUGUCCAACCAAACAUUCCCUAAGGAACAAGCCAAAGCAGAGGGGAAGGAAGCCAGGUAGCAGGGCACCCAAUAGGUAUGCACAUCUCAAAGAACCACAGUCAAUGCAUAAAGUGAGUAACCUCAACUUCCCUAUGCAUUCUCCAUUUCAGGUGACUUCUGAGCAGUAUCCCCGGAUGCAAGAGAAAGCUUCAGAAUAGAGUCCAGAAGUGAAGACAGCAUUGCAGAACCAAAGUGCUGCAUUGGAUCUGACAGUAUGGAUCAAGGCCUAAUGUUUCUCAACAUAUGUAUUGAAGCCCAUGUAGCAGCCCUACGUAUUUCAGAUACUGAUAAUCCAGGAUGUCUGAAAGUGGAACCAAAUCAAGCAGGAGGCAGCGAUGACACCACCAAUGUAAGAAUUUCUUCCAUUUCUGCACGCUAUGAGGCAGAGGACUGCUAGGUUUGGAUGAAAUGCAUAACUUGUGUCUUGUGACAAGAGAUAAUGGUCAGGAGCUUGGAUGACAGUUGGACACAUAGAUGAAGCAGAUGUGGAAGUUGCCAGUGCUUGCAGCUGUUGCUGCUCCUGGAUCCCUCUCUCUCCUCAGCAAUAUUCUUUUCAGAAUUAAACUGGUGUUUUUUCUUCUAGAGCGAUAAACAAUGGUUGGGAGUUAUUCUGUCCAACAAGUCUUCUGUCCUGUUGGGCAGCUUUCUGAUAUCUCUCUCAGCUGUCUCGUUCAAUUGCUUUGUAUAUACUCGUGGGGGA